rnacentral:lncRNA from 1 species
GUGAUUUAAGGGACAUAACUAUCCUGCCAAGAUUUCAUUACUCUAGGACCAUUUCUUGGUAUACAUACUGGCUUAGGAAACUUGUGGAAACUCUUUUCCACAUUCUCCAUACACCCCUUCUCUCUCAUUUUCACCUCUUCUGAGGAGACGUAGCGGUCUCCUUGAGGACAGGACUUUUGUCUUUUUUCUACUUUAUAUAUCCCCUGUUUAAAACAGAGUGCCUGGCCCAUAGUCAGUGUUCCACAAAUAUUUAUGGCAUACAUGAACGGAUUUUGUGCUUCUCACAGAAUUUAGUACAGGGCUUUGCACUGAAACCAGCAUCUUAUAAUGGUAUGUUCCUUGGAAAUUUCUCUCUUUUUAUACAGUUUUCUUUUUUGCCACCAUCCUAAAACUAAUAUUAAUCUCUUAUUCUCUCUUUAGAAUGUGUCCUCAUUUCUUACUUGUUAUCAUUUUCUCCAGUGUAGGAAAUUCUGGCAAGACAGACUUUAGCAAUUUGGCCAGUUCUUGCUCUGGGAGGAAGCUACGGGGCAUGUCCCCUGAAUUCCUUCCAUUUGCUUAGUUCCUGAUUAGGUUUUACCAGUGAGAUAAAAGUCCUUUGUGAUUUAAUGUGAUAGUUAUGAAGAUUCACUAGGUCUGUCUAUGCCGCUGUCUGGUUUUUGUCAGCUAUAGGAGGUGACUGAGGAAUCCUCAAUUUGUAUAAGCCAUCUACUCAUUAGUGCUUGAGAUAUUAAAACAUUUAUUCAGAAGAAAAUACUAUAUAGCAUGUGUAAGUGUGUUAAGAUUAUCCUGCAGUUAACAUAUUUCUGACAAUGCUGAGAAAAGCAGUAGAAAUAGAAUACGCCUCCUUUUUUUUAAUAUAAUGAUUUUCAUUUUUUUCAUUAAAACUAGUUUACAGUGUUCUGUCAGUUUUCUACUGUACAACGUGGUGACCCAGUUUCACAUACAAAUAUACAUUCUUAAAUAUGCCUCCUUUUGAUUUUUCUUUGAAAUUUAGUGUUGGAGGAAAUUAGUCUGAUAAAUAUUUUACUGAUUCAGAACAGAUACGAUAAGGGGAUUAUCUUAAAGAAUAGGGACUUUCAGGGAGUGGGUAGGAAGAGGGAUCUAGAAUAUUUAAAAAAUUCUUUUUGUUGUUGGAGAAAUUUGUUUAAAAUAAGUGAUCUCAUGAGGGAAAUAAAAAGAUAAAAUAUAAAAAUGGUAGUGUUUUCCAGGGAUGUAGCUGCAAGAAGCAACUUGCUCCUGGUGAAGAUAGAUGUUUAUGGGCCAAUUGUCUGAAGUUUAUCAAAAAUGGUCUAAAGUUUAUCCUAAGCGGAUAGCUCACUCCCCUCCUUUUUCCCUGGCAAGAUGCCUCUUAGACUGAAAACCUCACAAUUUCCUUCCCUCACCAAGUGUUCAGAUUCUGUCUCCAUAUCAUCCCUAGUCUUUGUUUCCUCUUUUCCAUUCUUUAUGCCACUGCUGUCAUGAGCUUGUAUUUGAGCUGUUUCAAUAUUCUCCUAACUGGCUUUUUAUGACCCUGCUCUACCCACACCCAUGCCCUCAAUCCGCCCUGUGUGCUGCCACCAGAUUAAUGUGUCAACAAUGAUUAGUGGAAUUUGGGAGGCUUUAACUAUCUGGCUGGUGUUAAUUGUCCUACCCUGAAAUUUUUUUGCAACAUUUAAUCUUAUGUUCUCCUUCUUAUCCAUUUACAGCAUGUGUUUUCUGAUAGGUACAGCCUACCCAUGCUCAUAAAAGAUUAGUGUUUAUUAAUUAGUGAUAUAUUAAUAAAUAUUCUCUGGUUUUUUAAUGUCUAAUAUUUAGAAUGUCUAAUAUUCAGAAGUAUGUUUUCCUGCUUUCUUUCCUCCCUCUCUCCCUUCCUCCCUUUCUCCCUUUCUUUCUUCCUUUCAUUCAUUCUUUUUUUUUUUUUUUUAAAGCUAGAGCAUCACUUACUUAUAGGUAGCACUGUGCUAGAACACUGCCUAUGUGGUAGUCAAAUGGCACAGAGAGGGAGAGCAUGGGCUUUGCAGCUUGAUAGUCUAAGAUUGAAUUUUAUCAGCACUAUCUAAUGAUUUAUGACACUGGGUCUUCAGUUUCCACCUUUAUGAAAUGAGAAUAAUAACUCUGACCUCAUAAGAUUUUUGUGAUGCCAUGAUGAAUUUCCCAGCCUGAAGCUUCUCGCUCCCUGUAGCAAAUGGGAGUCGUUUCUGCCACUCCUGUCAGUCAGAGAAGAGAACUUGCCACGGUUUAGAGUAAAUAUGGUAAGAUGAUUUGAAAAAUAUCCCCUAUAUUUGCUUUUGCUUCAGGCCUUUAUCUAUAAUGGGGGAACAUGGGAAGGAAGACACUGCUUGAUGUUAUGAAACAUCUCUUUUUAAAAAGAGAAUGCCCUCCAAAGAGGUCUCCCCAUAGUUACAGAGGUAUAACGAAAGCAGACUUUAGUAAUGCCAGAGUGCAUAAUUUUGGGAGGGAACAUUAGAAUUUUGUCUUGAUCUUUUUCAAGUGGGGUGGGAGGGAGGAAGAGAGGAAGUGGUUUCUGUCCAGCAUGAUAAUAGGUGACUCCACUUUUCAACGCCCCUGAGUGCUGAGCUCUGGCUUUAUUAUGUUAAGGGACGCUCCAGGAGCCUUGGAUCAGCUGAGAGAAGAUUCUUUUCAAAUUUCCUCCUUGAUUCCUCACCCCUCCACCCCCGCCCCCAGGGCAGGGGACAGAGGGACAGGGAGUACACACGCAGUUUGCUGUAUGUUAUCAACCAUGACACAUAGGAAACUGCUUUAAACCGUUUUAAGUGUUCUAUUUCAUCACAUUGGGGUACUUUUUUUUUUUUUUUUUUGGUCUUUUUAGGGCUGCACCCUCCUUAUGUGGAAUUUCCCAGGCUAGGGGUCAAUCACAGCUACAGCGGCCAGCCUAUACCACAGCCACAACAAUGCCAGAUCCCAGGCGCCUCUGCUACCUACACUGCAGCUCACAGCAACGCUGGAUCGUUAACCCACUGAUCAAGGUCAGGAAUCCAGCCCCGACCCUCGUGGAUCCUAGUCGGGUUAGUUUCCGCUGAGCCAUGUUGGGAACUCUUAAGAUUAGAUUAUUUUGAAAUAAUAAAAUGAAUGACUCCAAUACUUUCCCCCCCCACCCAUUGUGAGCAGGCCUUUCUUCUUUUUGGGGGGUCCCUAAGGAGACUUUCUCAACCAGAAGGGUCAGGUCUGAAGUAAAGACACCUGGUAAGUCUGCCCGAUUUCCCAAGGCAUCAUCCUGGUUAACGAGUUUCCCCAAGUGGUCUAUCCUUUCAGUGUGUCAGCCUAAAUAAAGACGAAAACUGAGGCAAGCUCACAUCACCAGAAGCUGAAUUUAUUCAGGAAUAGCCGAGGAAUUGCAACUGGAGAAACACAUGCUACAGCAAGUGACAGUACAGUGAGGGUUUAGAGCUGGCUGUUAUUUACUGGCAAAGAACCAGAGUCCGACCAGGGAGUUCGCUGGCUUGAGAAGGGGAGAGAACCUUGCGGAGGCUCCUUGGUCAGCUGAUGUCUCCGUCUUGGUGUAAAUUGGGAGGUGAUGGGAGAUCAGUCUCAGCUGGGAAGGUCCGUCCUUCCGCGGGCGCAUGCGUGAGAGCCGCCAUGUCCUCGGUUCUGGGACAUUUUUCGAUGCACACCCGUUUACAAGUGCGGUCCGUGUCCUCCAGGUGGUCAAGGUCAGUGCCCACCACUGAUGUGGGAGCAGUUUCUGCAGGUGAAGAAAGAAGCCCGGCGGGUGUCUGCUUGGCCGUCUUCACCCGCGCUCAGGUAGGCCGGCUCCCGGGGAAGGCGCUUCUUUAGGGACCGACCUCUCUCCUCUCACAUAUAGUCAGUUGUCGUUAUUCAUGGUUUCUGUGUUUACAAAUUCAUCUCCCCGGUAAAAUUUAUCUGUCGCCCCCAUUCCCAGACAUGCGCAAAAGUCACGCAGUUUGAGUCACUGACAGGUGCGUUCCCAGCUGCGCAGAACAAAGUGGCUAGUGCCUAUGUCAGCAGUCACUGUCAGCAAGUGUCUUUUUCGGGGUAUUGAGCGCCCGGUUUAUCACGUCUCUGCUUUUCAGGGUAUUUAGCGCCCGGUUUAUCACUUCGCUGCUUUUGGGAGGGGUGAUUGAGCCUCUGAACGUGGUCCCCAGGUGAGAGCUGCUGGGCUGUGUUGUGUCCAUAGGUGUAGGUCUGAGAAGGCUGCGAUGGGCUUUUCCGGGAAGAGACAUGUGGUGAUACACUGGGUUCAAGAUGGCUUAGAGCUGUGGGACCCGUUCACUUAUUCGCGAAUCGGAGGCCGACCUUGAGUAGGGCAUCUCUGUGCAGAAGCACACAUAAAGCAAGGCCAUGUAGUGAUGGGUUGAUGAACAUGUUGUGACCAGAGGGUUGAGGGAAUCCGACCCUGUAGCUCCCUGGGAGCGGUGGCUCUGUUCUGUCAGGAAUGUCAUUUUUCAGGGCAACUUCAUCAGACAAAACCACCCUUAGUAGUGAGAAUCCACGGUCUACACAGCUAUUUCCCUAAAAUGUGCCGAUGAGGCCAGGAAGAUGCUUUGGAAAUUGUCCUCUGUAAGACCUUGUGGAAGGACCAGAUUCUCCCAGUUUCCAAAGGGUCAACCCUGGCCCUCUUGCUGUUCUCCAUGGGGCUGGAAAACACAUGGGGGCUGUGGCUUCCUUGUCACUGCCACUGUCUGGGCUUGGGUUGUGGGGGUGUGGCCCAGAGUGGAACAGAAAGCUGGAAAUGUGACAGUGCUACUCAUCCCACACAUGCCUCUCGGCACAGCCUUCCACCAGCCCCAUGCGUGUUGUCUCUCCUUUGAAACCAGCUGUGGGGAAAAUUCCUCAUUCUUGCCUCAGCCUGAAUUGUAGUGAGAAUAUAUACUGUCUUGCUCUCAUUCCCUCAACAUGUAAAUCAAAAAAUAAGGCAAUCAGAUGCUCAUCCAUUUUGCAAGACCUGAGCUAUCCAUCUGUAGCCAAGGUCACCCUGGCAGAGAAUAAGGUAAACACCGAAAACAGUUUUCCAUCAGUCCUGUUUCUGUCAUUUCUAGAAUAAAACCUGUGGCUUCAGUGGAGAGUGAGGAGUAAAUCACUGUGCGCAGUCAAGUCAGGUUUGAGCUGGGCUGGAGAUUGACUUCAUGUUUAAUCAAAAUUGUAUUGGAUUUUGUUGUUGAAUCUUGGCUUUUCAUGAGGAAUUCAAAAAGGGCAAUGUUUUCCUAAAUUUGGCAUUCUCUUGAUACAGUAAAAGAUUUCUCACAUGCAUAAGAUUUCUCACAUGUGGAGUUCCCGCCGUGGCUCAGUGGUUAACGAAUCCGACUAGGAAUCAUGAGGUUGCGGGUUUGAUCCCUGGCCUCGCUCAGUGGGUUGAGGGUCUGGUGUUGCCCUAGGCUGUGGUGUAGGUCACAGAUGCAGCUCGGAUCCCUUGUUGCUGUGACUGUGGUGUAGGCUGGUGGCUACAGGUCCAUUUAGACCCCUAGUCUGGGAACCUUCAUAUGCUGUGGGUGUGGCCCUACAAAGACAAAAAGACCAAAAAAAAAAAAAGAUUUCUCACAUGUAUUGAAUAGCUAAGUUAUUACUAUCCCUGAGAAUUUCUAUAUGUGGGAUUUUAUAAUUUGUACCCUACCUCUUUUUCACUUUUAUUCGGCUUUACUUUCUUUUUUCUGGAAUGUAUUUUUAAAAAAAUGGUUUGUGGAGUUCCUGUUGUGGCUCAGUGGGUUACGAAAUGCAUAUAGUGUCCAUGAGGAUGCACUUUCAAUCCCUGGCCUCAUUCAGUGGGUUAAGAAUUUGGUGUUGCAGCAAGAGCUGCACCAUAGGCCCCAGAUGCGGCUCCGAUAUGGUAUAGCCAUGUCUGUGGCACAGGCAGGCAGUUGCAGCUCUAAUUUGACCCCUAGCCUGAAAACUUCCAUAUGCCACAGGUGAGGCUGUUAAAAAAAAGAAUAAAAAGGGAUUCCCAUCGUGGCGCAGCAGAAACAAAUCCGACUAGGAAUCAUGAGGUUGUGGGUUCAAUCCCUGGCCUCAUUCAGUAGGUUAGGGAUCCAUUGUUGUCUUGAGCUAUGGUGUAGGUGGCAGACAUGGCUUGGAUCUGAUGUUGUUGUGGCUGUGGUAUAGGCCAGCAGCUAUAGCCCUAAUUCGACCCCUAGCCUGGGAACCUCCAUAUGCCACAGUGGUGGCCCUAAAAACAAAAAAACCAACAAAGGUUCGUGGCAGAAUAAUGACAAUUUUAAAACAUAAACAAAAAUAUCUUUAAAGCCUAAUUUUUUAAAAUUAUUAUUAUUAUUUUUUUUAGGUUCAGAUGUGGGGCAUAUGGAAGUUUCCAGGCUAGGGGUCAAAUCAAAGCUGCACCUGCCAGCCUACACCACAGCCACAGCUACGCAGGAUCCUUAACUCCCUGAGGGAGGCCAGGGAUUGAACUCUCAGUCCUCAUGGAUACUGGUCGAGUUUGUUACCACUAAGCCAAAACAGGAACUCCUAAAACUUAACAUUUUGGCAGAAAUUGCAUGUACUUACAGAUGUGAAAAUUGUUCAGGGCAAACAAAUCUUGCUUGAUUGGACAAAUCUUUUCUUGCCUUGGUUUCUCUUUUCUACAUCAGUUAUAACACUUUUGUAUAAUCAGUUAUUAUUUUCAAAUAUAUUAAUUUAGCGUAUGUUGAUUAGACAUAAUAGUGUCUACGCCUUUCUUUUCUGGUGCUACCUGAUGCUGUCUCCCAGUUUUAAGGGUUGUUAUAAUCUGUUUUUCUUUCAUCAUAUUUCUCUUUUCUGUUCUUUCAUCAUCCUAUGCAAUGACAAAAACAACUAUGAGACAUCAAAAUGCUUUUAGAGAAACCCCUGUGUACCCCCCCAAAUACAAAUAUGAAUAGGAUGAAACAAUAGCAGUUUCAAGAUAUGCCUAUUGUUUCAAGGUGCUAUUGAAACAAUAGGGGUAUCUUGGAAAUAGCAGCAAGACAUUCUGUUCUAAGCAUUGGUAAUGUUACUUUGAAAGAUGAAUUAUGAUAUCUUCUGUGAUAGAAUGAGGACUCUGUACUCCGCAUUCAGUAAUUCUGUUAUCUUUCAUUAUUAAAAAGAAGAAAUAAUUCCUUAUUGUCCAGUGGUGUGAUGUAAGAAAUAUGCAGCUACAAGCUUGUAGAGCAUGGUACUAUUUACAUGAGGAUUAUUUUUCCACUGGGUUGAGAAUCAGACAGUUACAAUUUGAGAAAAGCACUAGAGGGAGCCAGACACCUUUCUGAUAAAUUCUUCUUUGUCCUGGAGCUGGAGCAUAACUCCAGCCCACAUUUGGAUCAGCUUGAAAACUAGUGAAUUUAGUGUUCAUCUCAGUCCAAAGACAGUAGUACAUGUAUAUUUGAAAUUUAAAAAUCACAGAUUUUAGAGAGCAAACUUUUACACAUUAAAAGGGACUUGAGACCUAUUCUCUAAAUACAAUCUAUGGACCUUGUUUGGAUCCUGAUUCAAAGAAACCAACCUAAAAAGAUGUUUCUGGGAAUUCUCCUUUGGUGCAGUGGGUUAAGUAUCUGGCAUUGUCCCUGCAGCAGCUUGAGUCUUUGCUGCGGCAUGGGUUGGAUUCCUCGCCUGGGAAUUUACACAUGCUGAGGGAGUGGCAAAAAAAAAAAAAGAAAAAAAGAAAAA